rnacentral:misc_RNA from 1 species
GAUGAAGAACGCAGCGAAAUGCGAUACGUAAUGUGAAUUGCAGAAUUCAGUGAAUCAUCGAGUCUUUGAACGCACAUUGCGCCCCCUGGUAUUCCGGGGGGCAUGCCUGUCCGAGCGUCAUUGCUGCCCUCAAGCACGGCUUGUGUGUUGGCCUCCGUCCUCCUCCCGGGGGACGGGCCCGAAAGGCAGCGGCGGCACCGCGUCCGGUCCUCGAGCGUAUGGGGCUUCGUCACCCGCUCUUGUAGGCCCGGCCGGCGCUUGCCGACACAUCAAUCUUUUUUCCAGGUUGACCUCGGAUCAGGUAGGGAUACCCGCUGAACUUAAGCAUAUCAAUAAGCGGAGGA